ACCUGGCUCCUUUCUCAGCCAUAUGGAUGGAAGAAGGCCAGAUCAUAAAACAUUGCUCCAGGUGACCUCCAAGAGUCUCCACAAGAGUGUCGAACUCACAAAACAUGCAGCUAGUGAGAAAGAUUCAUGGUGUGACACAGCCAAGCUACAGUCCCAGGAGCAGUGGCACAUGCACUGUGAUGUUGUAAUUUUACCAUCACAAUGGACAGCUGGACACAUCAAGCUGCAGCUGGGGUCUGCAGGGUGAGGAUGCUGUAUCAUAAAAAUUGGAAUAGAAGCCUCUGUGCCUGUAUCUUUCUCAGUAGUAAGAGCUUGACACAGAACACAAGCAGCAGCUGUAACUAACUUCGGUGCCAGGAAAAUCAGGAAGAUUACAAACAUAAAACCAUGGAGCAAACACCUUGAGGGCAGAAGCCUGGAGAAAAACUAAUGAUGAAAGACAGCCAGAGCAGUGGAGUGAGGAAAGUAGACAAUGACUGAGAUUUUGCAAACCAAAGCUCAUCCACAGAUACUAGCUUGAAAAGGAUAUGUUUGCUCCAAGUAAAUUUCCCAAUUUGAGUUUUUAUUUUCCCACUCCGGACAGUAGUUCAGAGGAAAUGGGAAUAAGAUAAUGAAAAGCUUUUUAUAUGUUUCUUUAACUUUUAGGAGGAGCUAAUGUACCAUCUAUUUGAUGACCUCCCAGUCAAGCCUUAGUCAUGAGCAUGUAGAUUGUCUUCAGCAGAUGUGUUCUCCCAAUGCCAUCCUCUUUUAACACCCUCGUUAGUUCACUGCCUCAUAACCUCCAUUGUCUGAUAGCUGGUGGAAGCAGAAAAAAACAUAAAAGGGCAAAAAAAAGACAAUUGGUUUCAGUAGAAAGUGUACCAGAUUUGGGAAACAGGGAUCUCUACCCUAUGAUAUGCUGAAGCAGGCUUAUAUGGACUCGGAGUUAGAAUUGGUUUUGUUAGAUUUUUAGGAAUUUUGUGAGCUAGUUGUUAAAUACAGCCAUUAUUAAAAAAUAAAUUAUGCAAACUUAAAUGUAAAGAAAUCCUACUAAAAGCCAAGAUACUGAAUA